AUGCACCCCUGGCGUUGUGCCUAUCGGGGUGCAUAAUCAAAAACAAAACAAAAAACAGCUGAUUGAAAAUUGCAUUAAAUGCAAAUUUUAUGCUGCUAAUUGACAGGCGCAACACUGAAUAUAGCAGGAUUGCAUUAAUUGCAAGCUGAAUAGCAGCUGCUACCAUACAAAGUGCAGGGGGCGC